rnacentral:rRNA from 1 species
AACGAACGCUGGCGGCAUGCCUAACACAUGCAAGUCGAACGAGACCUUCGGGUCUAGUGGCGCACGGGUGCGUAACGCGUGGGAACCUGCCCUUAGGUUCGGAAUAACUCCCCGAAAGGGGUGCUAAUACCGGAUAAUGUCUUCGGACCAAAGAUUUAUCGCCUUUGGAUGGGCCCGCGUUGGAUUAGCUAGUUGGUAGGGUAAAAGCCUACCAAGGCGACGAUCCAUAGCUGGUCUGAGAGGAUGAUCAGCCACACUGGGACUGAGACACGGCCCAGACCCGGAGGGGAGGAAGAGGGGGGAAAUAGUGAAAAAGGGGGGAAGGCUGGACCCCGCAAUGCGGGGGGAGUAAAAAGGCCUUUGGGGUUGUAAAGCUUUUUUCCCCGGGUGGAAAAGGAAGGUACCGGAAAAAAAAGCCCGGGCUACCCCCGUC